rnacentral:rRNA from 1 species
GCUAAACGCGAAGAACCUUACCAAGGCUUGACAUGCAUUUCUAAGCGCGUGAAAGCGCGUGACCCUUCGGGGGACUUGCACAGGUGCUGCAUGGCCGUCGUCAGCUCGUGUCGUGAGAUGUUGGGUUAAGUCCCGCAACGAGCGCAACCCUUGUGAACAGUUGCCAGCGCGUCAUGGCGGGAACUCUGUUCAGACUGCCCAGAUCAACUGGGAGGAAGGCGGGGACGACGUCAGGUCAGUAUGGCCCUUACGCCUUGGGCUGCACACGUACUACAAUGCCCAGCACAAUGAGAACCGAGACCGCGAGGUGGAGGAAAUCUACAAAACUGGGCCCAGUUCGGAUUGGAGGCUGCAACUCGCCUCCAUGAAGCCGGAAUCGCUAGUAAUGCUGCAUCAGCUACGGCAGCGUGAAUACGUUCCCGGGUCUUGUACACACCG